CCUAGGAUGACUGGAAUAUCUAAGAUCUCUAAAAUGAUUUGUCUCUCUCACAUAGUCUUGUAUCCCACAAUAGAUGGACUUCAUUAUCAUAGUGGCAAGAAUGAUGUAUAGAGACAGUGGAAUAUUGACUCAACUUCUACGGUAGGAGUUAACCAUAUCAAGUACUAAUAAGCAAUCCCUUGUCAAGUCUUGGCCUAGGUUACAUUCCCAUUGUGGCAGUGCCCUUGAGCUGGCCCUAUUUAGGACUCUUGCAUAGGGGAUGGCAAGUUCAAAGAGAGUACAAUGGGUUCUGACCAAUCCAGGGCCACAUAGAACCACCACCUCUUGAGAGAGGACAGCUUUUGGGGCCACCCUCACAUAUUACACAUAAUCCACCGACCACGGGAAGGACUGAAGGUAAGGCAACUGGCUAAAGCCUAGUCACAAUGAGAAGGGACCACCUAAGGACAUGGGCAUGGGAAUAGGGGAAUCAACAAAUUGAGUAUCAUAACUACAUCAUUUUCUCAGAGAUUCUAAUUCAGUUAUCACUAUCCAGCUAAAUUUCCCUAAACAAUAUUAAACCAUUUCUUGAGGUCUUUAUUUUUAUAAACUGAAAAGUUUAGAUUAAAUAAACCUGUUCUAACACCUUUUCUAGCUUAAAAUUCUAUAAAUACAUGGCUCAAGUGAAU
rnacentral:lncRNA from 1 species